GCUUACGGCCAUACCACCUUAGGCACGCCCGAUCUCGUCUGAUCUCGGAAGCUAAGCAUGGUCGGGCCUGGUUAGUACUUGGAUGGGUGACCGCCUGGGAAUACCAGGUGCUGUAAGCA
rnacentral:rRNA from 10 species